UUGUUGCUGGUCCCCAAAUGGGGACAUGUGCACGCUCUGUUAACACAUCCACUCACACCCUGUGCACCCUCUGUAGUUCUAUGGUUGGGGGGGGACCUGUCCUCUCCUGCUGUGGUUCUGCAUCUUUACAUACACACUGUAACAAAGCCUCAUGGAAUGCAUGCCGCGUUUAACGCAAUAAAAUACAACUUUCAGCAACGGAUCUCUUGGCUCUCGCAUCGAUGAAGAACGCAGCGAAAUGCGAUAAGUAAUGUGAAUUGCAGAAUUCAGUGAAUCAUCGAAUCUUUGAACGCACCUUGCGCCCUUUGGCAUUCCGAAGGGCAUGCCUGUUUGAGUAUCAUGAACACCUCAACUCUUCAUGGUUUUCCAUGAUGAGCUUGGACUUUGGGGGUCUUGCUGGCCUGCGGUCAGCUCCUCUCAAAUGAAUCAGCUUACCAGUGUUUGGUGGGCAUCACAGGUGUGAUAACUAUCUGCGCUUGUGGUUUUCCACCAAGUAACCUUCAGCAGUGGAGGUUCACUGGAGCUCACAGACGUCUCUCCUCAGUGAGGACAGCCCUUUGAAUGUUUGAUCUCAAAUCAGGUAGGACUACCCGCUGAACUUAAGCAUAUCAAUAA
rnacentral:rRNA from 1 species